GGCGCUCAAUGGGGCAGGGAUGUGGGGCUCAAUGGGGCUCAGUGGGGCUCAAUGGGGCCCAAUGGUUCUCAGUGGGGCUCAAUGGGGCUGAGAUGUGGGGCUGGGAGUGUGGGGCUGAGAUGUGGGGCUCAAUGGGGCUCAGUGGGGCUCAAUGGGGCUCAGUGGGGUUCAAUGGGGCUCAGUGGGGCUCAAUGGGGCAGGGAUGUGGGGCUCAAUGGGGCUGAGAUGUGGGGCAGGGAUGUGGGGGGCUGGGAUGUGGGGCUCAAUGGGGCCCAAUGGUUCUCAGUGGGGCUCAGUGGGGCUCAAUGGGGCUCAGUGGGGCAGGGAUGUGGGGCUCAGUGGGGCUUAGUGGGGCUCAAUGGGGCAGGGAUGUGGGGUUCAAUGGGGCACAAUGGUUCUCAGUGGGGCCCAGUGGGGUUCAAUGGGGCUCAGUGGGGCUCAAUGGGGCAGGGAUGUGGGGCUCAAUGGGGCCCAAUGGUUCUCAGUGGGGCUCAAUGGGGCCCAAUGGUUCUCAGUGGGGCUCAGUGGGGCUCAAUGGGGCUGAGAUGUGGGGCUGGGAGUGUGGGGCUGAGAUGUGGGGCUCAAUGGGGCUCAGUGGGGCAGAGAUGUGGGGCUCAAUGGUGCUGAGAUGUGGGGCUGGGAGUGUGGGGCAGGGAUGUGGGGCUCAGUGGGGCUCAGUGGGGCAGGGAGUGGGGGGCUCAAUGGGGCUCAAUGGGGCAGGGAUGUGGGGCUCAAUGGGGCCCAAUGUUUCUCAAUGGUCUCAAUGUUUCUCAAUGGGGCUCAGUGGUUCUCAAUGGGGCUCAAUGGGGCUCAGUGGAGUAGGGAUGUGGGGCUCAAUGGGUCCCAAUGGGGCUCAAUGGAGCUCAGUGGGGCAGGGAUAUGGGGCUCAAUGGGGCCCAAUGGUUCUCAAUGGGGCCCAAUGUUUCUCUAUGGGUCCCAGUGUUUCUCAAUGGGGCUCAGUGGGGCAGGGAUGUGGGGCUCAAUGGGUCCCAAUGUUUCUCUAUGGGUCCCAGUGUUUCUCUAUGGGUCCCAGUGUUUCUCAGUGGGUCCCAGUGUUUCUCUAUGGGUCCCAAUGUUUCUCUAUGGGGCUCAGUGGGGCUCAAUGGGGCCCAAUGUUUCUCAAUGGGGCCGAAUGUUCCUCAAUGGGGCUCAGUGUUUCUCUAUGGGGCUCAAUGGGGCAGGGAUGUGGGUCUCAAUGGGUCCCAAUGUUUCUCUAUGGGUCCCAAUGUUUCUCUAUGGGUCCCAGUGUUCCUCUAUGGGUCCCAGUGUUUCUCUAUGGGGCUCAGUGGGGCUCAGUGGGUCCCAGUGCUUCUCUAUGGGGCCCAAUGUUUCUCAAUGGGGCCCAAUGUUCCUCAAUGGGGCUCAGUGUUUCUCUAUGGGGCUCAGUGGGGCAGGGAUGUGGGUCUCAAUGGGUCACAAUGUUUCUCUGUGGGUCCCAAUGUUUCUCUAUGGGGCUCAGUGGUGUUCAGUGGGUCCUAGUGUUUCUCAAUGGGGCCCAAUGUUUCUCUAUGGGGCUCAGAGGGGCUCAAUGGGGCCCAAUGUUUCUCAAUGGGGCCCAAUGUUUCUCAAUGGGGCCCAAUGUUCCUCAGUGGGGCUCAGUGUUUCUCUAUGGGGCUCAGUGGGGCUCAGUGGGUCCCAGUGUUUCUCAAUGGGGCUCAGUGGGGCAGGGAUGUGGGUCUCAAUGGGUCCCAAUGUCUCUCUAUGGGUCCCAAUGUUUCUCUAUGGGUCCCAGUGUUUCUCAGUGGGUCCCAAUGUUUCUCUAUGGGGCUCAGUGGGGCAGGGAUGUGGGUCUCAAUGGGUGCUAA
ensembl:lncRNA